rnacentral:rRNA from 1 species
AUACGGGAGGCAGCAGUGGGGAAUUUUGCGCAAUGGGCGAAAGCCUGACGCAGCAACGCCGCGUGGAGGAUGAAGGCCUUCGGGUCGUAAACUCCUGUCAGUGGGGACGAAUGCUUCGCAAGAAGUUUGACUGUACCCGCUGAGGAAGCCACGGCUAACUCCGUGCCAGCAGCCGCGGUAAUACGGAGGUGGCAAGCGUUGUUCGGAAUUACUGGGCGUAAAGGGCGCGUAGGCGGCUUUGCAAGUCAGAUGUGAAAUCCCCGGGCUUAACUCGGGAAUUGCAUCUGAAACUGCUUAGCUUGAGUCCUGGAUGGGAUAGUGGAAUUCCCAGUGUAGCGGUGAAAUGCGUAGAUAUUGGGAGGAACACCUGCGGCGAAGGCGGCUAUCUGGACAGUGACUGACGCUGAGGCGCGAAAGCUAGGGGAGCGAACGGGAUUAGAUACCCCGGU